AUCAUCUGAUGAAAAAUAAGAAGGCAUAAGUGUAAAAGAAGUAAAAAUAUGCUUUAAGAAUUUGUCCUGACUUAGACCCUUCUCUUUUGUCCUAUAUAUUUAAAAGAUGAUUUAUCAUUUGCAACAACAUGGAAGGACCUUGAGGGUAUUAGGUUUAGUAAAAUAAAUCAGAUAGAUAAUGACAAAUACUGUGUGAUUUCGCUUAUAUGUGUUAUUUGAAGGACAAAACAAACAAAACGACACCCCCCAAAAGAAGAUGAUUUACUUUCAGACAUAAAUAAUAAUAAAAAUUAUUAUGACUACCACUUGUUGAGCUACUACAUUGAAAGUAGACAAGCCAGAAUUUGAACAUAUGUCUACCUGACAUUAAAAUCUAUGCUCUUUCCAUAUGUCUUGUGAUCUGAAUAACCAUCAUUCAAAAUGGCAGCUUUUGUUAUCAUGAACACUGAAGAAAUCAUGUCUAUGAACAAUCAUAAAAUUGUGUAUCAACUGAUGUAUAACUUUUCAGCUUUAUUUAGUAUAGUACUUAUGUAAAAAGUAAACAGUACAAAGUUGAUAAAUCUAGUAUCAAAAUUCAUCUCGUAGUAUGACUUUUCAGUUCACUUUUAGCUUUACCUCCUCCUUUGUAAAUGAAUGAUAAUAAUAAUGAUUUCACUUCAUUUGAGGGUGUGUGGACAAAUGAAAAAAUGAAUGAGAAAGCUUAAAAAUAUGAUACAUGACAAAGAGUUUUUUGUUCCCCAGACCCCAUAUUUUCCUAAGAUCAUCAGACAGAAGGACAGAAGCACUUGCUUCUGAUCCCAGCUCUGCCAAUGGCCAACACAAAUUACACUCAUGAAUGAAUGACAUGAGCUUUUCUGAACAUCAGCCAAAGGAAAGGUGGAACUAAAUAAUCUCUAGGUCCCAUUUGGCGUUACAUAAUUGUAAUUUAUUUAGUCUCAGAAACAAUUUCUCAUGCCUGUGCUUCCUCUUUGGAACCUGGAGCUUAUUUUUAGUGUUUGCACUAAAAAUGUUUUUCAAAAAAGCUAUUGGAUUCAGGACAAAAAUGUCCAGGUACCUGAAAGAAAUUACAAGUUAAAUGGAUGAGUCACCAAAAGGCAGUGGGACAGCCAGACCUGUCAGACCUGUUAUUCGAAUUUGGGCCAAAUGAUUCAAGUAUUUGAUUGUAGUGAUUGCAGAAGCCUGCAGAGGGGAGAUGGCACACACAUUUGGAUGGAUCAGACCUGAUCUGAAGUUUCGCAGAGCUACAAAAAGGGAAAAAGUAUCAAGUGUGUUAAAGGAAAAAAAAAGCAGCUUGGGAGAGAGAAAAUGAAGAAGAUGGAAAUCUCAUCACAAAGAGAACAUAGCUACUGACUGGUUGUCCAUUGGCAUACAUAAUAUGGGAAAGACUGCUGGAUUAUAAUGGAGGGAGAACUGGGAUCUAGUUCUCUAGUUCUGUGAUCUUGGUAAAUCCAUUCUCAUUUUCUGGACCUAAGCUUCUUUAGGUUAGACUAAGGGCUUGACUUGGAUGAUUACCUAAGGUCCCUCACAACUGUUAAGUUGUAUGCACAGGAGAAACACAGAUAAUGUUAUGAAAUACCCUUUAUAUAUAUGUGGAGAGAAUCUAUUCUGUGUUGGUUUGCCUUUUGGCCUCAUAACUUCAAAACAGUAAUUUUGGGGGCUUGUUACUUUCACAUUCUUAUUUGAAGAAGUAGAACUUCUUGUUAUUUUCACAUUCUUAUUUGAAGAAGUAGAACUAUGGUAGGAAGUAGAGUGAAUGGCAGAGUUUUCAAGCCCAGAUUUGAGAAAAUAUUGUUUGCCAAUCUCUCAUUGUUACUGAUUUCUAGAUAUUCUUAUUCUGUGUCUAGUAUAAUACAUGUUUCUAACAUGAUUUUCCUCUUUGCCAUAUGUUCCAACUAGAUGUCAAUCAUCAUAAAGGUUUACUGUACUUUAUAAUUUUUGCUUCUUUUCAGUGAUAUUAUUAAUACUUAUGUUCAAUAUAUUUGCCAAAUUGAGAUCAUAUGUCUUUCAUUUUGAGUUUUAUCCUUGGACAUCCCUGGCUACCUGAAUAGGUAAUUCCGAAUCUAUGAUUCUACCUCACACCCCACAAAUCAUCUCAAAAUAUUACAUUACAUUCAACUUUGCACCUUCAGGAUAUACCUAGAAUUUUUCAUAAUGAAGAUUCAUUAAGUACCUAAAAGAUACACAUCUUUGUUUCCUCAACACUUAUUAUUGAAACAGUAGGUAUCUAGGAGGUUAUAAUCAGUCUUGAAUAAAUUAAUGUAUUUAUAUUUAUAAAAAGAAGCAAAGUAAAUGCAUUCCAUAUAUGAGAGGAAGCUUUAGAAAAACAAACAAUUAGAAGAUAUGAAAGGAAUAAAUGAAGAUCUGAAAACUUAUUAUUCUGUGCUUAUUACUUUCUGAAAUACUAAAGUUUCUGUUUAGAGCCCACAUCAAUAAGCAAAGGUUAAAAUAAUAACAAAAAUCUCUCUCUCCAUGCUUUCCAAUGAGCCACAUGUUUUAAAGUCAAGCACAGUGCAUCUGCCCUCAUAAAUAUGUGAUUGCACAUUCCAAGUGAUUGAUGAUAUUUAAAUGAUGCAUAUUUUUCUUGGGUACAAGUAAAAUAUCCACACUUUCCCUAGUUUCUUGGUGAAAAAAAAAACAUAUACAUAAUUAAUGUCAUCAAAUGGGUCUCAUGAAUGUGUCUUGAUAGGUAAGGGGAAAAAUAUUUUUGUGUGUAUUUGUUUUUAACACAGAUUUAGUGGUACAAUGUAAAACGUUAGAAAUGUAUCAUCAUGUCCCCCCUUUUCCCACCCUGACAACAACCAUUCUACUCUCUUUCCCUUUUUUUAACACCUUUUUAAAAUAUGACCCUUCCUUCUCUCCCCAGUUUCUGCUAAGUGCCUUUGUACUCUAUGUUACCAUCAAUUCAGCUUUCUUUUCCAAUUUUUGUUGAGAAGUGAUCGACAUACCUCACUGUAUGAAUUUAAGGCAUACAGCAUGAUGGCUUGAGUUCCAUAUAUUGUGAAAUGAGCACCACAGUAGGUUCAGCUUACAUCCAACAUCUCAUAUGGAUAUACUAAAAACAAA
rnacentral:lncRNA from 1 species